GUGGGGAAUAUUGCGCAAUGGGGGAAACCCUGACGCAGCGACGCCGUGUGAGGGAAGAAGGCUUUCGGGUCGUAAACCUCUGUCAGAAAGGAAGAACCUCCCAAGUCCGAAUAGGGCUUGGGACUGACGGUACUUUCAAAGGAAGCACCGGCUAACUCCGUGCCAGCAGCCGCGGUAAUACGGAGGGUGCAAGCGUUAAUCGGAAUCACUGGGCGUAAAGCGCGCGUAGGCCGCUUUGUAAGUCGGACGUGAAAGCCCUCGGCUCAACCGGGGGACUGCGUUCGAUACUGCGAGGCUUGAGUCCUGGAGAGGGUGGCGGAAUUCCGGGUGUAGGAGUGAAAUCCGUAGAUAUCCGGAGGAACACCGGUGGCGAAGGCGGCCACCUGGACAGGUACUGACGCUGAGGCGCGAAAGCGUGGGGAGCAAACAGGAUUAGAAACCCCUGUAGUCC
rnacentral:rRNA from 1 species